rnacentral:tRNA from 1 species
GCCGGAGUGGCGGAAUUGGCAGACGCGCCUGACUCAAAAUCAGGUGAGGUUCACCCCUCGUGCC